CGUCCUUCUCUUCUGUCUUGAAACUGAAGGCGAACACGUCCCACAGACUCCGGCUGACCCCUCGCGGGAAGCGGUACGAGAUGGCAUCAUCGCCGUCGAAAUAGAGCACGUCGGACUCUGCGCGAAGGCCAGCAGCCUCCCAGCCCAGCCCGCAGUUGUCACACCCAGCCAAUAUCAGCUUCCAGAAAGCAGGCUCUCCUUGAUCUCCUGGACCCUCGUGGCUUUAAAAAAACAGAUGACCUAGCGUGUCCUCUCCCACCAUCCCAUUAUCUCCUCCGAGCUCAACUCGGAUGUCACCUCAUUCAAGAAGCUCUCCCAGGGGCGCCUGCGUGGCUCAGUGGGUUAAAUCCUCUGCCUUCAGCUCAGGUCAUGAUCCCAGAGUCCUGGGAUUGAGCCCCGCAUCGGGCUCUCUGCUCAGCAGGGAGCCUGCUUCCUCCUCUCUGUGCCUGCCUCUCUGCCUACUUGUGAUCUCUGUCUGUCAAAUAAAUAAAUAAAAUCUUAAAAAAAAAAAAAAAAAAGCUCUCCCAGAUUUGAC